UAAGCACUGAUUUCCCUUCCUAGGGGCCUAGCGUGAAAUGGGAGGGAACUAGCCAAGAGAGAGGAGGUGUAGCCCAUUUUAGAGAUGGGGACACUGAGGCCCGGCAGGAUUCACGUGUGGUAAACUACCCAAGGACAGCAGAGAAGAGGGAAUACAUGCUCCCAGACAGGGUGGGCAAGGAGCCCUAAGGAGCAGCCCUGGCAGGAAAACACACAAACCAAAAACACUCCAAGAAAACCCAAACAAUAACACCUGUCCAGGUCUUUGUUGGUAAAGUCUUGA